CUAGAACCCUAGAAAAAGAACAACUUAUUGGAAUAUAUUCCAAUACAACAGAACAUAAGCUUAGAGAGAUCUCCAAAGUUACGGUUUAGGGGAAGAAGAAAAGGCUGGAAACCAAUCCCUCGACAAAAAGUGUAUAGACGUUCUACGCAGAAGAACGACAGUCAGAACAAACAUGGUCGGGACAUGUUAAUUUGAUUCAUUGUCCGCUUACAGAGGUGGAAUUUUGUUGUUCUGAUUCGGAUAUGGACUAUACUGAACCUAUGCUGUUUGUGGAAAUGCUUACUUCAGAAUCAUCUUAUGAUGCAAU